rnacentral:rRNA from 15 species
AACUUUUGACGAUGGAUCUCUCGGCUCUCUCAUCGAUGAAGAACGUAGUAGAAUGCGAUACAUAAUGUGAAUUGCAAAUCCUGUGAAUCAUUGAGUUUUUGAACGCACAUUGCACCGACAGUUUACUGUUGGUUUGUUUGUUUGAAUUGCU